UUCCAUUUUACCAUCAUCAUCAUCAUCAUUAAUAUCAUCUUAUCCAACUCUCUGCAGUGUUCUGUACAGUUUUUUCCAUUCCAUGGCAGAAGAUAGAAAGCAUAAUUUAAAGUGAAACAUCACACAGAUUCGAAACGACUUGAAGAUGGGUCGCCAGAGUCGAGGUGAAAAUCCUGAAGGUCCUGAAGAUACCAAAGAUUCAGAAGAUCUUCAAGAUUUAGAAGAUCCUAGGUAUUCAGAAGGUCCUAAAGAUCCAGAAGUAGAACCUCAGACAAACAGAAGAGGAUCGCUGGAUAUUCCAAUUGAUUUCUCAUUAGAAAAUCUACUCUCUAGCAGCGUAGAGGAGAGCCAGAACAGAACAGAACCAUAAAUA